GGCCAUUAGCCCUCGUUGCCGCGUGCGAGACAAAGAAGAACAAUGCGUCGUGAUUAGUCACUCGCUUGCAUAUCAUACAUUUCUGGAAGAUGCCGCGGCUCUAACCUCAGUUGGACGUAAUAGAUCAAAGAAAAAGGCCUUGUCUCAUUCAAGUAGGAUGUUAGAAAACGAGAUCUUGCCUCAAGCCAGUCUUUCUCACUCAUAUUAGCACAAAAAUUUUCAAUUUGGAGAUUCUGGAUCUACUUGGCCUCAAGCCAGUCUUCGUCACUCAUAUCACGAA